rnacentral:sRNA from 1 species
GGCAACAUCCACCUGGUCGUUUUGCGACGCCAGUUUGCCCACCGCUUCGCCGAUGGACGGAUGCCAGGCCACGGCGCGGUCGACGGCUUUCUCCAGCGUCAGUUGACCCGGUGCAGCGGUUUCCAGCGGCAGAGACGUCACGCCAUCCAGUGACGGCAACGCCUGCUGUUGGGCAAGUUCUGCGGAAGCAAUCGUGGGGUGCGCCUCGGCGGCGCAGAGCUGAAACGGACACAGGCAGCUAACCAGCCACCCGACAACGGGCCGUAGUUUUCGCAUAAAUUAUCCCUAAGAAAAUGUCACUGCUUAUCUGCCCCGGACGACAUCGUCCGGGGCUAUUG